AAGCUCUAGCUUGCUAGAGUGGAUUAGUGGAGCACGGGUGAGUAAUGCAUAGGUUAUGUGCCUCAUAGUCUAGGAUAGCCAUUGGAAACGAUGAUUAAUACUGGAUACUCCCUACGGGGGAAAGUUUUUCGCUAUGAGAUCAGCCUAUGUCCUAUCAGCUUGUUGGUGAGGUAAUGGCUCACCAAGGCUAUGACGGGUAUCCGGCCUGAGAGGGUGAACGGACACACUGGAACUGAGACACGGUCCAGACUCCUACGGGAGGCAGCAGUAGGGAAUAUUGCUCAAUGGGGGAAACCCUGAAGCAGCAACGCCGCGUGGAGGAUGAAGGUUUUCGGAUUGUAAACUCCUUUUCUAAGAGAAGAUUAUGACGGUAUCUUAGGAAUAAGCACCGGCUAACUCCGUGCCAGCAGCCGCGGUAAUACGGAGGGUGCAAGCGUUACUCGGAAUCACUGGGCGUAAAGAGCGCGUAGGCGGGAUAGCAAGUCAGAUGUGAAAUCCUAUGGCUUAACCAUAGAACUGCAUUUGAAACUGUUAUUCUAGAGUAUGGGAGAGGUAGGUGGAAUUCUUGGUGUAGGGGUAAAAUCCGUAGAGAUCAAGAGGAAUACUCAUUGCGAAGGCGACCUGCUGGAACAUAACUGACGCUGAUGCGCGAAAGCGUGGGGAGCAAACA
rnacentral:rRNA from 1 species